rnacentral:rRNA from 1 species
UACGUAGGGGGCAAGCGUUGUCCGGAUUUAUUGGGCGUAAAGAGCGUGUAGGCGGCCUGUCAGGUCUGCUGUGAAAACUCGAGGCUCAACCUCGAGAUGUCGGCGGAAACCGUCUGGCUAGAGUCCGGAAGAGGAGAGUGGAAUUCCUGGUGUAGCGGUGAAAUGCGCAGAUAUCAGGAAGAACACCUAUGGCGAAGGCAGCUCUCUGGGACGGUACUGACGCUGAGACGCGAAAGCGUGGGGAGCGAACGGG